GACGAACGCUGGCGGCGUGCCUAACACAUGCAAGUCGAACGGAGAAAUUCAGCAAUGGAUUUCUUAGUGGCGAACGGGUGAGUAACGCGUAGACAACCUGCCUCCAAGAUGGGGACAACACCGCGAGAGUGGUGCUAAUACCGAAUGUUCUUUUUGUGGCGCAUGCCGGAAAAAGCAAAGGUGGCCUCUAUAUAAAAGCUACCGCUUGGAGAUGGAUCUGCGUCUGAUUAGCUAGUUGGUGAGGUAACGGCUCACCAAGGCGACGAUCAGUAGCCGGUCUGAGAGGAUGAACGGCCACACUGGGACUGAGACACGGCCCAGACUCCUACGGGAGGCAGCAGUGGGGAAUCUUCCGCAAUGGACGAAAGUCUGACGGAGCAACGCCGCGUGAGUGAAGAAGGUUUUCGGAUUGUAAAGCUCUGUCUUUUGGGACGAAUGUGCUCUUUGUAAAUAAUGAGGAGCAAUGACGGUACCGAAGGAGGAAGCCACGGCUAACUACGUGCCAGCAGCCGCCGUAA
rnacentral:rRNA from 1 species